GUCAGGAUGGCCGAGUUGGUCUAAGGCGCCAGAUUAAGGUUCUGGUCUGAAUCUUGGCGUGGGUUCAAAUCCCACUCUUGACACCA
rnacentral:tRNA from 1 species